GUCUAAGGCCAUACCACCAUGACCGUACCCGAUCUUGUCUGAUCUCAGAAGCUAAGCAGGGUCGGGCCUGGUUAGUACUUGGAUGGGAGAAAGGGGAAGUGAUUCAGCUAAGAUC
rnacentral:rRNA from 1 species